CUUUCUCUCUCUCUCUCUCUCUCUGCUGUCUAAACCCUGAUCAUCACAGAGAUUCAGUUGCUUAUCAAUGAAAUCCUCAGAAAUCGAAGUUCUCUCUCGAAAUCGAAAUGAUUCAUCAGAGCGAUUUCGAAGUUCAUCUCAGCGAUUCAGAUAUCGAAAUCGAAGUUCAUAUCUCGGAAUUUUAAAAUUCUGAGUUCAUAUCACUUCGAUUUCAUAUUGCGAUUCAAAUCUGAGUUCAUAUCACUUCGAUUUCGAUUUAGAUUUAGAUUUGAGUUCAUAUCACUUCGAUUUUGAUUCAGAUCGUGAUUCAGAUCUCAGCGAUGCAGAUCUGUCUCAGUGAUUCAUAUCUGGAAAUCGAAAUCGAAAUCGAAGUUCGAUUCAGAUCGUGAUUCAUAUUUCUUCUCGCUCAGGUUAGCUUUGGUCAGUCAGAAGCAAAGGUUUGUUAAUCAAUUCUUUACUUCCUCUUCAUUUUUCACCUUUGAUAAUUUUUUCCUUUCAACUAAAAAAUGUUUUUUCCUUUUACCAAUAUUUUCCCUUUUCAGAUCGUUUUCUUUCAACGGUUUUGCUCUGGUUUGCUGCCAAUGCCCUUAGAUUUGAAAUUAUAAUUUUUCUGAUCAGAUAGAGGCUAUCAUGAAUGAUUUUAUUCAGCUGAAACCUCAAUCUAAUGUUUACGAGGCUGAAACCAUGGUUGAAGGAACACUGGAUGGAUUCUUAUUUGAUUCUGAUAAUGACGCUGACAAGAUGCCUAAAACCGUCACUAAUCAGACUGAUCAAAAUGAGGGCAAUGGAGAGCAAUCCAACACAAAAACUAAAACAAAAGCUGAAAAAACAUCAGGAGUCGUGCGAAAAAGGAGUGGUAAAGCUGCAUGAGGAAAGCCACCCAAGAAAGUAAGAAAGAAAACCCAAGCUCCGAAGAACAGCAAGACUAAGAAAUGAGAGAUGCUACUGAAUGUGAUAAAUUGUGGUGUGUGGGCCGACAUCAAUUCUCAUUGGUGAAGGAAGAAGUAUGCCUUGGAAGGAAAGAUUGAAGAGUGCACGUGAGCAAGGAACACUUGUCCACCUUUCAAAUUUGGAUCUAGAAUAUACUUCAGGAGAAGUGGAAGCAUUUGAGCACCUUUUAGAACGUGAAUUAAUCUCUUUUACGGACAACAGAGGGCAUAAUCAAUCUGUUGAAUUUCGCCCGGCAAUUCUUCAUAAAUUAAUUGAUCGUGAAGGAUUCAUUGAUGGUGUUACUAGCCUCGACCGGGCAGUGGCUCCUGCCUCAAUUUUGUCAAAUUUGUUUGGAAGACUUCAAGAUUAGAGAUAGUCUAACCAAUGGCUUCUGGUGCUGACCUAAAUUCCAUCCUAAAUGAGGGAGAUUCUCUUAACUGCUAACAUUUGUAAUGUUUUUCAUUUCAUUCUUUUUGUCUAUUUAUUUUUUCCUCAACGGUAGUGCUAAUAUCUUUCCUAUUUAUACUGCACAUUAUUAUUAUUUUAUUUUAUUUUGAUAAGUUAUACUGCGCAUUAUUUUAGUACCUAGGUGAUGUGAGACUUGGUUUCAUAGGUACUAGAGAAGGAUGCAAGCUCAUGUAUACAACUUAGGAAUGUGGGAUAUCAGGGUAUUACAUUCAACCCCAAUAGGAAUACACGUCCUCACGUAGUCUAUGGUUCCCACCAUGCUGUUGCCAUUGUCCAUAGGAAAACUGUGCUAAGGAUGCAUAGUA